GAGCGGACAGAAGGGAGCUUGCUCCCGGAUGUUAGCGGCGGACGGGUGAGUAACACGUGGGUAACCUGCCUGUAAGACUGGGAUAACUCCGGGAAACCGGAGCUAAUACCGGAUAGUUCCUUGAACCGCAUGGUUCAAGGAUGAAAGACGGUUUCGGCUGUCACUUACAGAUGGACCCGCGGCGCAUUAGCUAGUUGGUGAGGUAACGGCUCACCAAGGCGACGAUGCGUAGCCGACCUGAGAGGGUGAUCGGCCACACUGGGACUGAGACACGGCCCAGACUCCUACGGGAGGCAGCAGUAGGGAAUCUUCCGCAAUGGACGAAAGUCUGACGGAGCAACGCCGCGUGAGUGAUGAAGGUUUUCGGAUCGUAAAGCUCUGUUGUUAGGGAAGAACAAGUGCAAGAGUAACUGCUUGCACCUUGACGGUACCUAACCAGAAAGCCACGGCUAACUACGUGCCAGCAGCCGCGGUAAUACGUAGGUGGCAAGCGUUGUCCGGAAUUAUUGGGCGUAAAGGGCUCGCAGGCGGUUUCUUAAGUCUGAUGUGAAAGCCCCCGGCUCAACCG
rnacentral:rRNA from 2 species